rnacentral:rRNA from 1 species
AAAACUCAAAUGAAUUGACGGGGGCCCGCACAAGCGGUGGAGCAUGUGGUUUAAUUCGAUGCAACGCGAAGAACCUUACCUGGCCUUGACAUACUAGAAACUUUCCAGAGAUGGAUUGGUGCCUUCGGGAAUCUAGAUACAGGUGCUGCAUGGCUGUCGUCAGCUCGUGUCGUGAGAUGUUGGGUUAAGUCCCGCAACGAGCGCAACCCUUUUCCUUACUUGCCAGCAUUUCGGAUGGGAACUUUAAGGAUACUGCCAGUGACAAACUGGAGGAAGGCGGGGACGACGUCAAGUCAUCAUGGCCCUUACGGCCAGGGCUACACACGUGCUACAAUGGUCGGUACAAAGGGUUGCUACACAGCGAUGUGAUGCUAAUCUCAAAAAGCCGAUCGUAGUCCGGAUUGGAGUCUGCAACUCGACUCCAUGAAGCCGGAAUCGCUAGUAAUCGCGGAUCAGAAUGCCGCGGUGAAUACGUUCCCGGGCCUUGUACACACCGCCCGUCACACCAUGGGAGUUUGUUGCACCAGAAGUAGCUAGCCUAACUGCAAAGAGGGCGGUUACCAUGGUGUGGCCGAUGACUGGGGUG